rnacentral:lncRNA from 1 species
ACGAUAAAAAACAAGAGAAACGAAGGUGAGUCUUUUUCCGGUGAUGGUAAGAAACACCCAUACCGGAAAUGUAAAAAAAUACAUAGAUGGUGACGGCUCAAGUCAAAAUAUGCCGAAAAAGACAUCUUACGAGAAUAAUGCUCGACGUUGUUAAAAAAAAGAAUAAUGUUCAAAAUAUGAAAAUAUGAAAAUAUGAAAUACAAUUUUGACGCUGAAACCGUUAAUAUUAGAAAUAACAAAUGCUUAAAUGAAAAGUUAUUGUAAUUUAAUAGUUUUUACACCUGAAGCUCAAUUCACCACUAACAAAUAUUACUAUACACAAAACAACACAUUAUUGAAAAGAGAAACACAUAAUAUAUUAACCUAUAACCUAACAGUACAUAACACAAUAAAAUACUAAAUCAUGC